UCAGUCGGCUACGAGGACGACGCUGGCGGCGUGCCUAACACAUGCAAGUCGAACGAGGUCCAUCCUUCAGGAGAAGACCUAGUGGCGAACGGGUGAGUAACACGUGAAGAACCUGCCCCGAAGACCGGGAUAACCCUCCGAAAGGAGAGCUAAUACCGGAUACCCCCACCGAACCGCAUGGUUUGGUGAGGAAAUGGAUUCCGCUUCGGGAGGGCUUCGCGGCCUAUCAGCUAGUUGGUGGGGUAACGGCCCACCAAGGGCAUCGACGGGUAGCUGGUCUGAGAGGACGAUCAGCCACACUGGGACUGAGACACGGCCCAGACUCCUACGGGAGGCAGCAGUGGGGAAUCUUGCGCAAUGGGCGAAAGCCUGACGCAGCAACGCCGCGUGGGGAUGAAGGCUCUCGGGUUGUAAACCCCUUUCAGCAGGGACGAAUCAAGACGGUACCUGCAGAAGAAGCCCCGGCUAACUACGUG
rnacentral:rRNA from 1 species